rnacentral:rRNA from 1 species
AAUAGAUACCCCGGUAGUCCACGCCCUAAACGAUGCUCACUAGGUGUUGGGGAAGCGAUUCCUUGGUACCGUAGCUAACGCGUGAAGUGAGCCGCCUGGGGAGUACGGCCGCAAGGUUAAAACUCAAAGGAAUUGACGGGGGACCCGCACAAGCGGUGGAUGAUGUGGAUUAAUUCGAUGCAACGCGAACAACCUUACCUACCCUUGACAUGUCCGGAAGCCUGCUGAAAGGCGGGGGUGCUCGAAAGAGAACCGGAACACAGGUGCUGCAUGGCUGUCGUCAGCUCGUGUCGUGAGAUGUUGGGUUAAGUCCCGCAACGAGCGCAACCCUUGUCCCUAGUUGCUACGCAAGGGCACUCUAGGGAGACUGCCGGUGACAAACCGGAAGAAGGUGGGGAUGACGUCAAGUCCUCAUGGCCCUUAUGGGUAGGGCUUCACACGUCAUACAAUGGACGGUACAGAGGGUUGCCAACCCGGCGAGGGGGAGCCAAUCCCAGAAAGCCGUUCGUAGUCCGGAUCGCAGUCUGCAACUCGACUGCGUGAAGUCGG